rnacentral:rRNA from 1 species
UACGUAGGGUGCAAGCGUUAAUCGGAAUUACUGGGCGUAAAGCGUGCGCAGGCGGUUUUGUAAGUCAGAUGUGAAAUCCCCGGGCUUAACCUGGGAACUGCGUUUGAAACUACAAGGCUAGAGUGUGGCAGAGGGGGGUGGAAUUCCACGUGUAGCAGUGAAAUGCGUAGAUAUUGGGAAGAACACCGGUGGCGAAGGCG